UCCAGUGUGGCAUAGUGGUCUGUGUGCUGGACUUAGAUUCCAGGAGACCAGGGUUCAAAUGUUGGAGUUGGUG